CUGCGCGAGCAUUUCGGCUCGUAGUGCGUUCUUAGAGGGACAAACCACGGCUAGUGGUUGGAAGUUUGAGGCAAUAACAGGUCUGUGAUGCCCUUAGAUGUUCUGGGCCGCACGCGCGCUACACUGACACAGUCAGCGAGUGUUAACCUUGACCGAAAGGUCUGGGAAAUCUUGUGAAACUGUGUCGUGCUGGGGAUAGACCAUUGCAAUUAUUGGUCUUCAACGAGGAAUUCCUAGUAAGCGCAAGUCAUCAGCUUGCGUUGAUUACGUCCCUGCCCUUUGUACACACCGCCCGUCGUUACUACCGUUGGGAAUGGCUAGA
rnacentral:rRNA from 1 species